rnacentral:rRNA from 1 species
UCUGGGCGUAAGCGUGCGCAGGCGGUUUCGAAGACAGAGGUGAAUCCCCGGGCUCACCUGGGAACUGCCUUUGUGACUGCGAGGCUAGAGUACGGCAGAGGGGGGUGGAAUUCCACGUGUAGCAGUGAAAUGCGUAGAGAUGUGGAGGAACACCGAUGGCGAAGGCAGCCCCCUGGGCCGAUACUGACGCUCAUGCACGAAAGCGUGGGGAGCAAACAGGAUUAGAUACCCUGGUAGUCCACGCCCUAAACGAUGUCAACUAGGUGUUGGGUGGCUAAAACCUUUGAGUACCGCAGCUAACGCGUGAAGUUGACCGCCUGGGGAGCACGGCCGCAAGGUUA